rnacentral:rRNA from 1 species
AUUGAACGCUGGCGGCAUGCCUUACACAUGCAAGUCGAACGGUAACAGGUCUUCGGAUGCUGACGAGUGGCGAACGGGUGAGUAAUACAUCGGAACGUGCCCGAUCGUGGGGGGAUAACGGAGCGAAAGCUUUGCUAAUACCGCAUACGAUCUACGGAUGAAAGCGGGGGACCUGCAAGGGCCUCGCGCGAUUGGAGUGGCCGAUAUCAGAUUAGCUAGUUGGUGGGGUAAAAGCUCACCAAGGCGACGAUCUGUAGCUGGUCUGAGAGGACGACCAGCCACACUGGAACUGAGACACGGUCCAGACUCCUACGGGAGGCAGCAGUGGGGAAUUUUGGACAAUGGGCGCAAGCCUGAUCCAGCAAUGCCGCGUGCAGGAUGAAGGCCUUCGGGUUGUAAACUGCUUUUGUACGGAACGAACGGUCCUUUCUAAUAUAAGGGCUAAUGACGGUACGUAAGAAUAAGCACCGGCUAACUACGUCGCCAGCAGCCGCGGG